UCUAGAAGCUUCGGCAAUGGGGGAAACCCUGACCGAGCAACGCCGCGUGAGGGAAGAAGGCCUAACGGUUGUAAACCUCUGUCAUAUGGGAAGAAGGAAUGACAGUACCAUAUGAGGAAGCUCCGGCUAACUACGUGCCAGCAGCCGCGGUAAUACGUAGGGAGCAAGCGUUGUCCGGAAUUACUGGGCGUAAAGGGCGCGUAGGCGGUGUCUUAAGUGAGACGUGUAAUCCCCGAGCUUAACUUGGGAACUGCAUCUCAGACUGGGGCGCUAGAGUACUGGAGAGGGUGGUAGAAUUCCACGUGUAGCGGUGAAAUGCUUAGAUAUGGCACAGAACACCGAUUGCGAAGGCAGCGUACUAAGAUACAACUGACGCUGAGGCACGAAAGCGUGGGGAUCGAACA
rnacentral:rRNA from 1 species